CGUCUCAAAAUAUGCAUUACACAUCUAAUUUGUCGCUCAUAUUAUGAUGCGUAAACUAAUUACACGUAAAUAUCAACGAACUACCAAGGUUACAAAUAUUUGAUAUGGAAGUAGAUGCAACUCUCCUACAUCUGAAAUAGUUAUAUACUGCGUUCGUAUUUCAGUACACCACAAUACCAUACCAAAUAUACGGUUACUUUCUUUAUGAUUAAUAAAAUUUAUGAGGGGAUAAAAUAGCUGGUUAUCGUACAUUAAUUUCAUGUCACGAUCCGAACCUAUUACCUAAAAAACCCGAGUCCGACCCUACUGUUUUAAACUUUUCUCAACACUUAUUUGGCGAGAAUCCCACGCGCUUGUUAGCAAAAUCGUAGCUGACGCGUGUCCCCUGCUGCUGCACGUUCCCGAUGAUAGACAGCGGCGACGACGUCGGCGCGAAGGCGAAGCAAAACGUCCCCGCCGAGUCCACUGGAAUCAAGUAGUUCUUCGCGGGAAGGCUCAACGACUUCCCGCCGGAAAACUGAAACGACACCGUUGGGACCUGCACCUUGGUCCGCGACGACAGGUUGUAACACGUGUCGAACAGCGCGAAGCUGCUCGCAGUCGGCAGGUCCCGAGUAAGCCUCUUGAAUGCGUCGCGGAGGGCGUUGUACGCCUGAGUCUGCAGCCGAGUUAUGGCUGUACCCGAGUCGACGAUGAUCCCUCCGUUUCCGGAAUUGUCCACCGCGAAGAGCGACGGCGGGACUGAGACCGGUUGGCCGCCGACGCUGAAUCCGGUGAGCCCCACGUAGAAAAUGUGCCGACUUUUUCGCUCUUGACUAGCGGCGCCGUGACG
rnacentral:sRNA from 1 species